CCCAAAACACCAUGUAUUAACUGCAUUAAACACUGUUAAAUGUGACCAAUCAGUCAUUUACCAAGACAGAACUGAGAGCACUCUAUGUGCUGGGCACACAUUAAAAAAAGUAACAAUUUCAAUUUAUCAGAAAGGCCACACAUUCAGUCUUACAGAUGGAAACGUAAACAUCAGUGACUAUUUUGCAAGGACUCUAGACGCAGAGUCAGCACUAAACGGGAAGCGUAAAGACGCCUUUAGCACAAUGCAGAGGGUUCGGCGUUACCCCACCCCUUUCGAUUCACCUGGGACGCACCUGGCCCCAGGCCGGAAGCUCAAGCCCACUUGCCCAGGGCCGCAGCCACACGAUACCCUGGGAAGCGACCACGUGUCUUAUCGCUAUUAA
ensembl:lncRNA